rnacentral:lncRNA from 1 species
GGGUUUGCCCACGGCCUAGGUUUUGCUUCCCCUCUCACAUGUCCCUCACUUGAGCAUUAUAGUGUUACCUCCAUUUUCUUUUACCACAUCAGAAAUUUCGAGUCCCCUUUUCCUGUGUGUCAUUGAGCCUGUGUAAGAAGUAUUAUUGUUAAUAAAAAAAAGGUUAAACCCUAAUUUUAAGGGUCCCCCAUCACUCCUGUCCUGGAGUAUCGUGAGGGAGGUAAAUCGCAGGUUAUGCCUCCAACGGUAUAGGGUGGAAGGCUGCUUGUACACUUGCACUUUCCCAAGAGCCAAAUCCAUACGUGUCACUGAGAAUUAAAAUGAAGGAAACUAGCAUGUAAAUGCAAGGGAGAAAUAUUAAAAUAACUUUAAAUAAACGAUUGCAAAUAAAACGUUGACCUUUCCCAAAUUGUGUAAGACAAAUCCUGGAAGUAGGUGAGUUUCGGUUCAAAUCCCAUCCCGAAAAUGCCACAUCCCCGACAAGCGAGUUUCGAUUCUUUCCAAAUCAAAAUCCAUUUACGCGAAUCCAUUCAUUAUGGUCCAUUCGAUAGGUCUCCGUUUGUAGCUAUUAUAAAUGAGUUUCUUCGUCCACUAUCGCCCCCUUUGGUUCUUUUAUAUACAGAAGUAGGUGGUGAGUUUAAUUUUACCUUGUAAUCGUUCAUUGUGAAAUUUUGAAUCUUGUCCAAAGUAAUUCUCCAUUAUUUGGGAUUUCAAUUUUAUGGUGCUCUAAACAAUAGUAAUUGUUAAGGUUCUUUUCCUUUUUCUGUAACUGACGGCGGACCAAACUUUGUGUUUAUUAACUGAACACAGCUUUAUAAACAUUUAACACUCGAAGAUACUAAACUUCCUACUGUUCCUGGACAUCUUGAGGGGAAAUUUAAAUCUACAUUGAAGACCUUGGAAUAGUACCAGCCCAAAAAUUGUGAGCAUGUAUUUAACACGGGUUGGGAGUUUAGCUUCCAAUUGGAAAAAGGUACAUAAACCCAUCAGUUUAUUACAAGUAAAAAUCGACGUUACAAACAAGAGUGCAACUUCCAACACAUUAUCGAUUCACAUAUGUUUACAACCAUAGUUCACAUACAUUCGCACAUAAUAAUACCACAUAUACAAAAGUUUAUGUAAUAACUAGU